UUUGCGCCAGGGAUAGCAGCGUAAAUCCCACAGGCGCCAGCAGGCGACGAGGAAUUGCAGCGAAUAGCCCGUUAAGGC
rnacentral:sRNA from 1 species